GACAUGAGGUGCUGGUCGACUUACCCUGGAGGCACACACCUGGUUUGAAGGAAGAUAACUUGCAAGGACCCUCUCAUUAACCACAUCCCAUAAGACUGUCUCCAAGACGAAAGGUUCAACCAGACCUCUGGCUGUCCAUCACAGGCCUCAGCAAUGCGGUCACCUAUGUGACUUUUGGAGAAGUUUCUGCUUCCAGGUUCCUGCUUUGAAUUCCAGCCCUGUCUUCCUUCAGUGAUGGACUAUGACCUUGCAUACGUAAUCCAAAUAAACCAUCUCCAUCCCCCAA